UGUUCCUUUCAGAUAUUUAAUCAAAUUUUUCAUGCAUUGCCAAUGCAGUUCACCAGGGUUACUCAUAAAUCUGCUUAGCACACUUAUAGCAUAAGCAAUAUCAGGUCUAGAGCAUACCAUAACAUACAUUACAUAUCCAACAACAUUAGAGUAUGGGACAUUCAUCAUUUUUCUAUAUCCAUCUUCAAUUUUAGACGAUUGAUCAACAGAUAAUUUCAUACUGGUAGACAAAGGUAGACUAACAGGCUUAGCAUCAUGAAGGGAAAACCUUUUAACUACCUUGUCAAUAUAAGAUUUUUGUGUUAGAAACAAAUUUCCAUUUAUUCUAUCCCUUUUUAUUUCCAUGUCCAAAUUUUUUCUAGCUAGUCCUAAAUCUUUUAUUUCAAAUUCUGAUUUCAACUUUUUUUUAAUUGAGUUAAGUACAACAGAAUUAUGACCAGCAAUGAUCAUAUCAUCAACAUACAAGAGAAGAUAUAAAAAUUCAAAUUCACCAUCUUUUAUAGUAAAAACAAGGAUCAUGUUCUGAUUUCUUAAAAUCCAAAUCUUGUAUAAAAGAGUCAAAUCUUUUAUACCACUACCUAAGGACCUGUUUUAGGCCAUACAAAGAUUUUUUUCAAGAGACAUAUUAAGUUCCCCUUUCCUUUUACUUCAAACUCUCUUGGUUGAGUUAUAUGUAUGAUUUCAUCUUGAGAACCAUACAAGAAGACAGUUUUCACAUCAAGUUGUUCUAACUCUAAGUCAGAUUGUGUCAUUAUGGCAAGUAGGACUCUAAUAGAUGUAUACUAUUGGUGAAAAAAUUUCAGUGUAGUCUAUACCUUCUCUUUGAUUGAAGCCUUUAGCUACAAGUCUUGCCUAAACCUUUUAUCAUUUGUCUUAAUCUUACCUUCCUUGAUCUUGUGUACACAUUUAAAAUCAAUCAAUUUACAAUCUUUGGGUUUCUCAACUAAGAUCCAGGUUUUAUUCUUAUGUAGGGAGUUCAUCUCAUCUUCCAUUAUAGCAAUCCACUUAGGGGAUUCUUUGGAAGAAAUAACCUCUUCAUAAGAGGUAGGUUCUCUAUCAAGCAUAUCAGGUUUAGACUAGAUAGAGGUCUUAUUUUUGUCCCUAGCAAACUGGUAGUCCUGCAGGUCAUGUGCAAGCUCCAGAUACUGAUCAUCUUCAAUAAUUUCAUCAUCUAUAAUGAUCUAUGGUUCUACAUGAUGUGGCUCCACCUCAAAUUGAGUCUCGUUAUUUAAAAUCUCCCUAUUCAAAUUUAUUUCAAUAACAAUAAACUCAUCAUUUCCUAAUUUUUCUCCAGAUUUGUCACUAAGACAAAGAAAGUCAUCUUUAUUAAAGAUAACAGAUCUACUUAUUAUCAUCUUAUACCCCCUCACAUCUCUUAAUCACAGUCCAUAGCCUUUAACUCCUUCACCAUAUCCUAAGAACACACCCUUCAAUAAUUUAAGGUCCAGUUUUGAUUCUGUGUGAUGUGCAUAUGCAGCACAUCCAAAGGUCCUAAGAUAGGAGUAGUAUGGUAAUGUACCAGACCAAAUUUGUUCAGGAAUUUUAUUGUUUAGGGAGUUGGAAGGACAUCUAUUUAUUAGAUAACAGGCAGUUUUCACUGCCUCAUCCCAAAAGAUUUUUGGAAGGUCAGAACUGAUCAACAUACAUCUUGUCCUCUCAAGAAUGGUUCUAUUUAACCUCUUAGCAACCCAAUUUUGUUGAGGAGUAUAGCUAGUUGUUUAAUGUCUCAUAAUCCCUUGUUUAUUAGAAUAUUGAUCAAAUUUUGAAUUACAUAAUUCAAGUCCAUUGUCAGUUCUUAAGAUUUUCAUCUUCUUACCAGUUUGAUUUUCAAUUAAUACAUUCAAAUAUUUAAAAGUUGCAAAAGUAUCAGACUUAGAAUUUAAUAAGAAAAUCCAUAUUUUCCUUGAGUAAUCAUCAGUGGUAAGAAGAUAAUAUCUGUAACCAGAUACAGUAGGAACAAGUUUAGUCCCUAUAAAUCAGAAUGUAUGUAUUCAAGGACAUUUUGGGACUUAUGUAGCCCUACCUUAAAGGGCAGUUUGACUUGUUUUCCCAUUAUACAGUGUUCACAAAAAGUUAAUUUUUGAACACUAUCCUACCCAAAUGCCCCUUGAUAUGAUAGAGUUUUUAAACCUUUUAAACUUAAAUCUUGCCAUAAUUCUGAUUUGGUAAUUUUCAUCAUCAAGAACUCCCAGGGAUAUGAGAUUUUUUCUAAGUUCUAGCACAUAUCUAGUGUGUUUCAACAAUAUGUGAUGGCUAUUUUUAAAUUUCAAUGACACAUUGCCAAUUCCCUUCACUUGACAGGACUCAUCAUUCUCAAGUUUUACAAAUCCUCUAUCAAGACUAGAAUAGUCGGAAAAACAGCCAAUAUUAGGUGUCAUAUGAAAAGAACAACUUGAAUCUAGGACCGAGUCCUGAUUAGUACUUUCAGAUAGAGACACAUAGGCAACUCCAAUGUUGUCUCCUGCUUCGUUGUAAUUAGCAGCAAUGGCUAAAGAAGCAUUUUCAGUAUUAGACCCAUUCUUUUGAUCAUUAGCCUUUUUAAAACAAUCUUUAAUAUAGUGCCUUGUUCUUCCACAAUAAAAGCAUUUUUUGUUAUUGUUAUUGCUUGUCUUUCCUUUAUUUGGUUUCUUGUCUUUUCCUUUGGUAUUACUUCAUUUCCUUUUGAUAAAAUUCUUAUUCUUGCUAAAAUUGGAAUGACUGAAGUUACUCACACAUUUCAUAUGUGGUUUUUGAUCUGAUGAUGCACCCUCAACAUGAAACACCUCUUUGUGUUCAGAUUUCAAUUCCAAUUCUCUGUUCAAUAGAGAAUUUUGAAUUAUUUCAACAGUUAGGUCACUUCUACCAUACUCUAGAGCAUUUCUUAUGCCUUUAUAUUUAUCUCCUAGAGCAUUAAGCAGACCAAUUACCUUUUGCUCAUCAGAAAUUUUCUCACCACAGUUUAUUAAGUCUUAUGUGAUCUUAUUAAAUCUAUCCAUAUUAUCUUAGUAUAAAGGUUAGGAUCAAACUUAAAACUGAAGAAUUAUUUCCAAAGAAAACAUUUAUUUGGUACAGUCUUAGUAAGAUCAAUUCUGUAGUUGUUUUGGUUUCUCCUAGUUUUCUAAUUACAGAAUCAGAUAAGUGAAGGAACAUUGUACUUCAGGCUAAUUCAUCUUGUUCAAUUUUCCUAUUUUCAGCUAGGCCUUCUGGCCAAGACUCAUCAAUGGCCUUGGAAUAUUUCAAUUGUAACGUAAGGGCUUUAAUUUUCUGGCACCAGAGACUAAAGUCUCAUUUGCCAUCCCAAACUUGGAUAUCUACCUUAGAAGUCAUGAUGUGCAGUAGUGUGAAAAUGUUCACAAGUAUGAUAUAAUCAAAUAUAUCAUAGUAAUAAUUUAGUCAACAAUAUAUCAUAGUGAUCAAUGUCAAAUUAUUCAAAUUUCACAAUUUAUUUAUAUAUACAAGGAUAAGUCACAGAUCAAUAGGUAGAAUGGAGCUAUUUAAUAGUUAUGCUCACACACAGUAAGUUGCAGGGGAUAAUACAGUGUGUACCUUCACUGGAAAACAAUUUCACACAAUGGUAACUUCAACCCCUGAAUAAACCAAGUUUGAGUAUAAGUACAGAUCAAGAAUGCAUACAGCAGUUCAGAAACAAAAACUUUUAUUUACAGAAAAAUAAUAUUCACACAAUAACAGAAGACGUAUUUCAAAAAACUUUUAAGAAAUAAGUUUCUUGAAUUAAAGCCCUAAUCCCCUAAGAUUCUAGGGUUCUCUUAGGGAUCCCUAGACAAAGGCAGAUUUAGGAUUCACAGAGACCCUACUUUUUUUUUUUUCAAAAACAAGAAGGCAAAAGAACAUAUCUGAUCGGAUUUGUAAUUUUCUUCGAACAACUUGAAUAAAAAAUUUUCCAAAAAAAUCAGUACGAUAAAAGAACAAAUCUACUCAGAUCUGUAUUAUUUUCUGAACACAGAGACUCAACCACACUUGAAUCAAAAAAUUUCCAUAGCUCUGAUACCAUUGUUGGUCCCAAAUAAUAUGUUUGUGCCUUUAACUUGUAAACCAAACACUGUUAAAAUUAGAAAAUAACAAGAUUGGAACACAAGAUUUUUCGACCCAAAGGCCCCGAGGUUCGGUGACCGCUUCCAACGCAUAAUCCCCAUUGAGCAUCCGUUAGGAUUAAGCUCGAAUCCACUAUAAAUUGCCACAAAAUAGGCAAAAGUUUCGUAACAGAACACUUAGUUCUAACUCUCUCAAAUUCUGACAAUAACCCAAAACUCACACAAGAGUUCAUCACAAAAAUAUUUUCUAUCAUGAAAUCACAAAGAAAUCAUAGAAGUAUAAGAGUUUUAGAGAAGAUGAUAAACAAAACGAGAGAUA
rnacentral:lncRNA from 1 species